UGAGUGGCGGACGGGUGAGUAACGCGUGGGCAACCUGGCCUGUACAGGGGGAUAACACUUAGAAAUAGGUGCUAAUACCGCAUAACGGGAGAAGCCGCAUGGCGUUUUUCCUGAAAACUCCGGUGGUACAGGAUGGGCCCGCGUCUGAUUAGCCAGUUGGCAGGGUAACGGCCUACCAAAGCGACGAUCAGUAGCCGGCCUGAGAGGGCGGACGGCCACACUGGGACUGAGACACGGCCCAGACUCCUACGGAAGGCAGCAG
rnacentral:rRNA from 1 species